rnacentral:rRNA from 1 species
UACAGAGGGGGCAAGCGUUGUUCGGAAUUACUGGGCGUAAAGGGCGCGUAGGCGGCCUGUUAAGUCGAACGUGAAAUCCCCGGGCUCAACCCGGGAACUGCGUCCGAUACUGGCAGGCUUGAAUCCGGGAGAGGGAUGCGGAAUUCCAGGUGUAGCGGUGAAAUGCGUAGAUAUCUGGAGGAAUACCGGUGGCGAAGGCGGCAUCCUGGACCGACAUUGACGCUGAACGGCGAAAGCUAGGGGAGCAAACGGG